rnacentral:rRNA from 1 species
UACGUAGGGGGCAAGCGUUGUCCGGAUUUAUUGGGCGUAAAGGAGCGUGUAGGCGGCUUGGUAGGUCCGCUGUGAAAACUCGAGGCUCAACCUCGAGAUGUCGGCGGAAACCACUUGGCUAGAGUCCGGAAGAGGAGAGUGGAAUUCCUGGUGUAGCGGUGAAAUGCGCGGAUAUCAGGAAGAACACCUAUGGCGAAGGCAGCUCUCUGGGACGGUACUGACGCUGAGACGCGAAAGCGUGGGGAGCGAACAGG